UGGGAUGCAGGCGUGCAUGGACCACAGACCUUUAGGAGAUUAUCUGCUAAUCAUGGCCUGGACAUGAGCACUCAAGAGGUGUUGCCUGAAGAAUGAGAUGCUUUUUUAUGAUGCAGUAAAAGAGAGGAAAUCGCCUUGGCCUCUUGCCUUGUCCUGUGCUAAUGGGGACACCAGGUACCAGAAAUAUUAAGAUGUUCAAGGUCAUACAUACAACUGGUAAGUAGCAGAGUCAGGAAUCAACUUCAGGCUGGUUUAUGCUUUUA
rnacentral:lncRNA from 1 species